rnacentral:rRNA from 1 species
CAGUAGGAGCAUGAUUUAGUCAUGUGACUGCGUACCUGUUGUAUAAUGGGUCAGCGAGUUAUUUUUAGUGUCGAUGAUAACUGAAUAAGGGAUCCGUAGCGAAAGCGAGUUUUAAUAGGGCGACUAGUCGCUAGGAGUAGACCCGAAACCGUCGCGAUCUAUCCAUGGCCAGGUUGAAGAUUAGGUAGUACGAAUUGGAGGACCGAACCCAAUACUGUUGCAAAAGUAUUGGAUGAGCUGUGGAUC